GACGAACGCUGGCGGCGUGCUUAACACAUGCAAGUCGAACGGAAAGGCCCUGCUUUUGUGGGGUGCUCGAGUGGCGAACGGGUGAGUAACACGUGAGUAACCUGCCCUUGACUUUGGGAUAACUUCAGGAAACUGGGGCUAAUACCGGAUAGGAGCUCCUGCUGCAUGGUGGGGGUUGGAAAGUUUCGGCGGUUGGGGAUGGACUCGCGGCUUAUCAGCUUGUUGGUGGGGUAGUGGCUUACCAAGGCAUUGACGGGUAGCCGGCCUGAGAGGGUGAACGGGCACAUGGGGACUGAGAGACGGAGCAGACUCCUACGGGAGGCAGCAGGGGGGAAUAUUGCACAAUGGGCGGAAGCCUGAUGCAGCAACGCCGCGUGCGGGAUGACGGCCUUCGGGUUGUAAACCGCUUUCGCCUGUGACGAAGCGUUAGUGACGGUAAUGGGUAAAGAAGCACCGGCUAACUACGUG
rnacentral:rRNA from 1 species